rnacentral:lncRNA from 1 species
AAUAUACCCUGUGAUUUAUUUUUAUCUUUUUGUUAUCCCCUUCAUUAAAUUUUUUUUUAUUAAAUUAGUGAGAAAGUUAAAAUUAAAGUUUACUAAAGUGAAUAUUCGAUAAACUAUAGACGGGGUAUUUGAAGUUUUUUAUAUAUGAUUUAACGAAAAGUUAACGAACGGGCUGACGAAAAGAGAAAAAUGAAACCACGGGGUACUAACUUGAUACACUUUAAACUAUAGAGUAUUAAAGUGAGAAAGUGCGAGGGAUGGUAUUUGAAAUUUACCCUAAAAAAAAAGUAAUGCUAUCUGUAUAUUUUUUGAAUAGGUAUAAUAUUUACACUAUCCAUCGUAAAGCCCAUAAAAAUUUCUUCGAACUCUACGGUUGAGAAGGUGUAAGAUUUACACCUAUAUAUAGAUAUACAAAUAAUAUUUUUCUAUUAAAAAUUAAAAGUUUUAAGCGCAGUUUUUUUU